rnacentral:rRNA from 1 species
AUUGAACGCUGGCGGCAUGCUUUACACAUGCAAGUCGAACGGUAACAGGCCGCAAGGUGCUGACGAGUGGCGAACGGGUGAGUAAUGCGUCGGAACGUGCCCAGUCGUGGGGGAUAACUAUCCGAAAGGAUAGCUAAUACCGCAUACGAUCUGCGGAUGAAAGCGGGGGACCUUCGGGCCUCGCGCGAUUGGAGCGGCCGAUGUCAGAUUAGGUAGUUGGUGGGGUAAAGGCUCACCAAGCCAACGAUCUGUAGCUGGUCUGAGAGGACGACCAGCCACACUGGGACUGAGACACGGCCCAGAUUCCUACGGGAGGCAGCAGUGGGGAAUUUUGGACAAUGGGCGCAAGCCUGAUUCAGCAAUGCCGCGUGCAGGAAGAAGGCCUUCGGGUUGUAAACUGCUUUUGUACGGAACGAAACGGCUCUGGUUAAUACCUGGGGCUAAUGACGGUACCGUAAGAAUAAGCACCGGCUAACUACGUGCCAGCCGCCGCGGUAA